UGUCAACUAUAUUAGAACUCCUACAUCAACGAACAAUUCAUCACCAAUACAACUGAAAUUAAGGCCACCAACGGUUUAUCAAGAGAUAAUUUUUGACUGUAAAUGAACAUUGAAUACAGAUCACUACAUUGACAUUCGUUAAGUUUUAACUGUCAUUGCCUACACAGUAGCAUUUUUACCACGUACUCUGUUUUAUUGUACAUGCGCAUCCAUAUUAAUACUCUAUUGAUGUGCAUCGUAAAUAAUUAUUUUUCGUCAAACGAUAAAUCAGUGAAUAACGUUGACUGUCGUAUGAAAAUUCGUCAACAAUUUCUAUAUUUGUCAUAGUACUCGUGUUGUGUCAUUAUGGCUUAAGGAUUUACUUUGGGAUUAUCAUAAUAUUACAUCGAAUAAUGGAAUAUUUAUACAACCGAAUUAUACCUAGUGAUAAUCUGUCAACAAGGACGCCCACAAAAAUUUUCUCAGAGUGUACAAACAUUAUUGACGUCAAUUUAAAAUGUGGAACUAAUUCUUCAAUCACAUUGACUAAAAAAUCGAAAUUUACAUCACGACAACCUAACAUUUUUGUUAGGUUGUCUACCUAACGCUAAGCUAAAAUAUGUCAUCAAAAAAAUUUAUGUGUCAUGAAUUUUUAUUUAAAAUUUAAUAAAUUGUCCAA